AUGUCGUGGUAUCUAGACACAGGUGCCAGUAACCACAUGACGGGGUGCAAGGAGAAGUUUCUCGAGCUGGAAUAUGAUGUUCAAGGCUCGGUCAAGUUCGGUGAUGGUUCAAAUGUGGAGAUUUGCGGGCAAGGUUCUGUCCUCUUCGAGGGUCUCAUAGGAGAACAUCGCAUACUCACCGGAGUGUACUACAUCCCACGGCUUCGCAACAACAUCAUCUCUGUCGGGAAACUUGACGAGAAUGGAUGCAAGGUGGAUAUUGAGAACGGAGUGUUGACGAUCUUCGACAACCUCCGAAACGUGCUAACCCGUGUUAAUCGCACACGGAACAGGCUCUAUAUCCUCAACCUUGAUCAAUCUCAACCAGAGUGUUGGCUCGCCAAGAGUGAUGACGAUUCAUGGAUAUGGCAUGCUAGAUUUGGACACGUUAACUUCUACGCCUUGAAGAAGAUGUCGAAGAUGGAGAUGGUAUCUGGGAUGCCGUUUAUCGACCAUGUUGAUCGAGUAUGUGAUGGGUGCUUCGUUGGAAAACAACACCGCAGGCCAUUCCCUGCUCAGUCUACCUAUCAUGCAAGUCAUGCACUCAAGCUGCUCCAUGGUGAUCUAUGUGGCCCUAUCACCCCAGCAACUCAUGGAGGAAAGAAGUACUUCUUCCUUGUGGUAGAUGACUACUCGAGAUAUAUGUGGGUCGUUCUCCUACGAUCUAAAGAUGAGGUGUUUGAAGCAUUCAAGAAGCUAAAGGCUACAACGGAGAUGGAACACAAGUUGAAGGUUCGCGCUCUACGGACAGAUCGCGGCGGAGAGUUUACAUCGAACGAGUUCAACGACUACUGCGAGAAGAUUGGCAUAAAGAGGUUCCUCACGGCACCUUAUACGCCGCAGCAGAACGGGGUUGUUGAAAGGCGCAAUCGAACCGUCGUUGACAUGGCAAGGAGCUUACUCAAGAGCAAGAAUCUGCCGGGGACAUUUUAG
rnacentral:rRNA from 1 species